GCCCCGAUGGUGUAGUGGCCUAUCAUGUAGCCCUGUCGAGGCUACGACCCGGGUUCAAAUCCCGGUCGGGGCGCCA
rnacentral:tRNA from 2 species